GGGUGUUAAUUUCUCAGAGUAAAGUUAUUUUAAUCCAGAAAGAGUAUUUUCAACAUUUUGGGGAGUAAAGUUGCUCUAUCGGUGGAGUUAAAAGUGAGUGUAAAAAUCUGCAGAAACGCAGUGACAAUUUCAACUCUACAGCAGUGAUGAAUACCCGCCAUUCUGCUGUGCUUAUCAUUCGUUUGGCACGCAUUUCGGUGGAGGAAGAUUGAGAAGGAGCAACUCUAUUGCUAGGGGCAAAAUGCUGUUGCGUGUUCAAUUCGGGGAAGAGCAGAAAUACGUGAAGGUGUCUGAGCUGACAUUCGAUGCUUUCUUGAAAGAAGGUGCCUCUCAAUCAUCAUCAUGCUCGGGUACAUCUGAUGACACCUUCAUCCUGAAUUUCACAAUGUGUGACCCUGUUGAAGAAGAAGCUGCUGC